AAGCUCGUGAGGAGGCUGGUCCUGCCGUUGUUUUGUCGUAUGCUGUCUCCGGUAUCUCUGCUUUGUUGUCUGUUUUUUGCUACACCGAAUUUGCAGUGGAAAUUCCUGUCGCAGGUUUAUUACACUGUCUUAUUUUAUUUUUUUCACUACUGUCUUGUUUUUCAUUUCAUGCUUUAAAUUAUCUAUGAGUAUUAUAACUUUAUUUAGGAAAUAUAUAUUGUGAUUUAUUUUUUAAGGAAUUUUAUGAUUAAAUUAUUACAAAUAUACUUUUUGACAAUUUCUUAGAAGAUGUAAUUACUUAAAGAAAUCUAAAUAUUUUUCUUUAAAAGUAUGUUUGAAUAGAGGAUUUUGGAGGGUGGGGUUAGUCACUUAAUAAAUUUAAACUUGACACUAAUUGAGUUAUGUGGGUGUUAUUGUUUGUUAUCAGGUGGGUCAUUUGCAUACUUAAGAGUAGAAUUGGGAGACUUUGUGGCCUUCAUAGCUGCUGGAAACAUACUCCUUGAAUAUGUUAUAGGAGCAGCAGCCGUAGCUCGAUCAUGGACCUCCUAUUUUGCCACCCUCUGCAACAAAAAUCCUAACGAUUUUCGUAUAAUAUUCCACAAUAUGAACCCUGAUUAUGGUCAUCUUGACCCUAUUGCUGUUAUAGCCCUCAUAGCCAUCGCCACUCUUGCAGUCUUGAGCACCAGAAUCUCUUCUCUCUUCAACAAAAUUGCAACAAUCUUUCAUUUAGUUGUCAUUGCCUUCAUCAUCAUUGUUGGCCUAAUCAACGCCAACCCCGAAAACUACGCUUCAUUUGCUCCUUUUGGUACCAGAGGUGUUUUUAAAGCCUCGGCUGUUCUUUUCUUUGCUUACAUAGGCUUUGAUGCAGUGUCAACUAUGGCCGAGGAAACUAAAAACCCUGGCAGAGACAUUCCUAUUGGUCUUGUAGGAUCAAUGGUAAUUAUCACUUUCAUAUAUUGCUCACUAGCAACAACACUAUGCCUUAUGCAGAACUACAAAACAAUUGAUGUCAAUGCACCAUUUUCGGUUGCAUUUAGUUCUGUUGGAUGGGGAUGGGCUAAAUACAUUGUUGCAUUGGGAGCAUUGAAGGGAAUGACGACUGUUUUGUUGGUUAAUGUUGUCGGUGCCUCACGUUAUUUAACUCACAUUGCUCGUACUCACAUGAUGCCUCCUUGGUUUGCUCUUGUUCAUGAGAAAACCGGGACACCUUUGAAUGCUACAAUUGCAAUGGUUACAGCUACUUCUGUGGUUGCAUUUUUCACUGAUCUUCGUAUUCUUUCAAACCUAUUGUCGAUUUCAACGCUUACUAUUUUCGUGCUUGUAGCAAUUGGGAUUUUAGUGCGUCGUUAUUAUUCAACUGGGGUAACUACAAAAGAUAAUCAAGUUAAGCUCAUUGUAUGUGUUGUUUUGAUUAUUGGAUCUUCAUGUGGCAUGUCUGUUUAUAGAGCAAUGAGUGAUGGUUGGAUUGGAUGGGCAUUUUCAGCACCAUUGUGGCUUUUAGGAACCGGAGGUAUUUGCCUUCUUGUUCCACAAGCAAAGAAACCUAAAGUGUGGGGGGUACCUUUAGUUCCUUGGUUACCUUCUUUUUCUAUUGCUAUUAAUAUAUUCCUUCUUGGAUCUAUUGAUAAAGAUUCAUAUGUAAGGUUUGGGAUAUGGUCAGGGAUUUUGUUGAUUUACUAUUUUCUCAUUGGGUUGCAUGCUUCUUAUGAUGCAUCAAAGGAGGUUGAAAGCAGACAUACUAUGGCCCAAUAUGUUGACAAAGAGAUUAACAAUGUUGAAGAGGAAUGUAAAAAUUAGAGGCAAGGUAAUUGGCCAAGGUGUUCUUGUUUAGUGAAUGUGAAUUGUGGCAAAUGUUAGAUAUCAAAGUUAUUCUAUGUUUCUAAGUCAGUGAUCAUCCAUUAAGUAUUAUUAUAUAUUCUAUUAUAACAUAUUGAUAAAUAAUGCUAUUGUUAUUCUAUGAAACCCUAGUUGUCGUCUUUGUUUUGUUAUUCUCUACUAAAACCUUAUAUUGUUAACAGUAAAUACAUGCAUACAUCAAACAUUAUACUUUUGGUUCAAUAUAUUCUGUGUGGGAUACAAUGUUGCUCUUGUGACAAAGAGACGAGUUAGGUACUAGUAUUUAGUCUAGUUGUAUGUGGUCUUUUAUUUUUUUUCUUUUUGAUUAAAAGUAUGUGGUCUUUUCUGAUUGGUGAAGACUAUGUUAAAAUUUCUAGUAAUAUCAGACAAUUAUUUUACCAAGUUAAUUUGACUGUGAGACUUUAGCUACAUAUCGUAAUCUCUGUGAAAAUUUAGAAGUUCUACAACAAUAUUAUGAAUAUGUAAGUGUUAGGCACGUUAUCAUGAAUAACAAAACUCAAUUAACAUAAAAAGAUUAUGAAAUCUCCUUAAAGAUUUAAAUCUUCAAGCAAACCUUGGAUUUUGGAAAUCGGAAUAGCUCCUAGGGAAGAGUUUCUCCACAAUUAAGCAUUCAUCAUACCAAGUUUUGGAUUUGUAUAUAUUUCUUAAACUCAGAAUUUCUUACAUUUCUUGCAUUUAGGCAAUCGUUAAAAGAAGCAUAAGCUUUGAAAACUCUUAAU
rnacentral:lncRNA from 1 species